rnacentral:rRNA from 1 species
AUUGAACGCUGGCGGCAUGCCUUACACAUGCAAGUCGAACGGCAGCGGGGGAGAAGCUUGCUUUUCCUGCCGGCGAGUGGCGAACGGGUGAGUAAUACAUCGGAACGUGCCCUGUAGUGGGGGAAAACUAGUCGACAGAUUAGCUAAUACAGCAUACGACCUGCGGGUGAAAGCGGCGGACCGCAAGGCCCCAUGCUAUAGGAACGGCCGAUGUCUGAUUAGCUAGUUGGUGGGGUAAAGGCCUACCAAGGCGACGAUCAGUAGCUGGUCUGAGAGGACGAUCAGCCACACUGGGACUGAGACACGGCCCAGACUCCUACGGGAGGCAGCAGUGGGGAAUUUUGGACAAUGGGCGAAAGCCUGAUCCAGCAAUGCCGCGUGUGUGAAGAAGGCCUUCGGGUUGUAAAGCACUUUUGUCCGGAAAGAAAUGGCUCUGGUUAAUACCUGGGGUCGAUGACGGUACCGGAAGAAUAAGGACCGGCUAACUACGUGCCAGCCGCCGCCGUAA